AUUGAACGCUGGCGGCAGGCCUAACACAUGCCAGUCGAGCGGAUGAAGGGAGCUUGCUCCUGGAUUCAGCUGCGGACGGGUGAGUAAUGCCUAGGAAUCUGCCUGGUAGUGGGGGCUAACGUCCGGAAACGGGCGCUAAUACCGCAUACGUCCUGAGGGAGAAAGUGGGGGAUCUUCGGACCUCACGCUAUCAGAUGAGCCUAGGUCGGAUUAGCUAGUUGGUGGGGUAAAGGCCUACCAAGGCGACGAUCCGUAACUGGUCUGAGAGGAUGAUCAGUCACACUGGAACUGAGACACGGUCCAGACUCCUACGGGAGGCAGCAGUGGGGAAUAUUGGACAAUGGGCGAAAGCCUGAUCCAGCCAUGCCGCGUGUAUGAAGAAGGUCUUCGGAUUGUAAAGCACUUUAAGUUGGGAGGAAGGGCAGUAAGUUAAUACCUUGCUGUUUUGACGGUACCAACAGAAUAAGCACCGGCUAACUUCGUG
rnacentral:rRNA from 1 species